ACAAUCAUCUUCCCCACAAU
rnacentral:snRNA from 1 species